rnacentral:rRNA from 1 species
CCGGUGUUAAACCGGAGGAAGGCGGGGAUGACGUCAAGUCCUCAUGGCCUUUAUGUCCAGGGCUGCACACGUGCUACAAUGCGGCUAACAAAGGGAAGCCAACCCGCGAGGGGGAGCCAAUCCCAUAAAAAGCCGCUCAGUUCAGACUGAAGGCUGCAACUCGCCUUCAUGAAGCUGGAAUCGCUAGUAAUCGCGGAUCAGCAACGCCGCGGUGAAUGUGUUCCUGAGCCUUGUACACACCGCCCGUCAAGCCACGAAAGGGAGGAGCGCCCGAAGUCGCCGCACCAAGUCGGUGCCGAAGGCGAGACUCCUGAUUGGGACUAAGUCGUAACAAGGUAACCGUAGGGGAACCUGCGGCUGGAUCACGACCUU